AUUCAUUGGUACUGACCCUCGAAGUUCGCGUGUAAGGUGCCGAACUUCUGUAAUUAUGAUGUUGCGGUGGAAUGUAAUAUACCGGAUUUUAAUAUAAAAGUGAAAAUAAAUAAAAAUAGUAUGAGAUAUUAUUUUUAUUGGAUUUAGAGAAGUGAAAUAUAGGUUGGAAAUGACCUGUGCUGAAAUCGGAGCGAAAACAGAAGAUUUAGAAUUUUCUGCGAGAAAUGGGACAGAUAAAUUAGCAGAAAAUGCACAGUGUCGAAAAAUUAUGAAAACUGGAGAAUAUGUCAGAAUCAUUUUUAUGACGCUAGACUUAAAGUUUCAUGCCAUUCUGAUACCCGGAAAGUGGAAAAUAAAAUCCGACAGCUAUCUGAUAGAGAUUACAGUUCGGUACAGCUUUCGGUGAUCAAACGGGGUCGAAAGUGAAAGAUUAAAAUUUUUUUGUACUUAUUAAGUAAAAUCAAGCCUGUCUGUCAAAUUUGAGCUCAAACGGACAUUCGGGAAGGCUCCGGGAAAAAAUGUCAGUUUUAAACUGCCCGAUGUGAAUAGUGUAUAGUUGAGGGGCUAAAUUAUAAAAAGGGAUUUAAUCCUUCUCCUCCCUCAACCGUGCACCACAACGCCACACACUCACACAUGCACGCAUGCAUGGAGGGAGAGAGAAACCUCUCUUUCUCUCUCUAAAUCUCUCCCAAAAUUGGUGGCUUUGGGGGAGAUUGAAGCUUGGAAGUGAAUCGUCUUCAUCUUCUUCAUCUUCUCCAUGGUUUGGAGCAAGCUUUGAGGUGAGCUUCUUGAGCCCUCUGAUGGUAGAUCUCUAGAAUUAGCUUUGUAUGUUCUAGAGAUGGAUUUAGUAGAAUGCUUAGAUACUAAUUAGAGGUUUAUUGCUUGAUUCAUGAAGUUAAAUAAUGGAUUUAGUUGUAAUGGCAUAUAGGGCUUCAAAAUUGGGGUUUUGUAAAAUAUAAGGAUUUGAUCUAAUUUGACCCUCCGUAAACCUAAUUGUUAGGUAAACGAACGCGUUGGCGAAGUGGGUUCGGCGAUUCGUCGAGCCAUUGUGAAGAUAUUAAAGAAAUGGACGUUUAGGCUUCGUUUCCGCCUGGAGGGCCGAGGCGACAUCGUAAAAUCAUGAAAACGGAUUUGGAGUACCGUAGCACAUAACCGAAGACCUUUAAUUUCUGAAUCGUGGAUCGGAGGCCAUUCGGGUGGUCGCGCGGGAGUUCGGGCCAAACCGGGUUACGGGCGCCGCGGGAGGUCGAUUGCAAGUGGCUAUGAGCAAUCGGAACGCGAUAACAGGUGGGUUGUGUUUACCGAAGCGACUAGGUCGCCUACAUGUCAAAGAGAAAUGUGCUUCUCGUUGAUGCACAUACAGGUGUGAUGGUAGUUGAUUGCAUAGGUGAAUGCUUAGGGAUAAUGCAUGAGAUACUAUGUGAUAGCUGCCUAAGAUGAAUAAAAUUGCAUGUUAGCAUGAUUAGAAUAUGUGCAUAAUGGCAUCAUGAAUGAGUUAAAGCAUAUAAAUAGAAUAUGCAUGAUGAUGUUGUAGAUGUGGUAGAGCAUAUGAAUAGAUUGCAUGCUAGUUGAUAAUGGCAUAACGAAGCAUUGGAGUAUGUAUGCUAGUGGAUAAUCGCAUAUAGAUGCCUUGAGAAAUACAUGCUAGAUGAUAAUGGCAUAUUAGCAUUAUGAAGGUGUAUACUAGAUGUAAGAUGCAUGUUGGCUUUAUUGAACAUAUAUGCUAGAUGAAAAUGAAUGUUAACAUAUUGUUAAUUAUGGAGAUUUUGAGGUAUGUGGACAUAUUGCUAGAUUAUACAAAUAGGCAUGUGGCAUGUAAACCUAGUAUUGUGAACCUAUGAUAGAUCGAGUGGCAUUAACCUAGUGUUAUGAAUAUAGGUUGAACAAGUGAACCUAGAAUCAAGAUCUAGGUAGAGUGGCAUCGAACCUAGUGUUAGUAAACAUAGGUCGAAUAUGAACAUAGUGUCGUCAAACAUAAGUUGACAUCAAACCUAGUGUUGUGAAACCUAGAGUUAACUAAACCUAGGUGAGUGGCAUUCGAACAUAGUGUAAAGAAACACAUUGAGACACUUAACGUGGAACUAGGGAUAGGUGGAUUUCCGAGUGUUUAUUAACCAUAGUGGACAGGGUAUCCUCGGUUGGUGAGGAUUGGAUCAUACUCACAUAGUCUGUUUUGGGCUUGUGGCGGUCACUCCACACAAGCAGUGCACUUCGGAGUUGUCACACGAGCUGGGUAGCUCACGAGAGGGGUAGCUCACUGGGUGGGAUACGAGCGGGGUAGCUCCUCACCCAUUGGACUGGGAAGUGAGUCAGGCGAAGGGCGGGGUAGCUCUUCACUUGUGAGAUUUGUGCGGGGUAGCUCUUUACCUAUGAGUGGGGUAGCUCUUGACUGAUGAGAUUGAGGUUAGAGUCGAGGCGAAGAGCGGGGUAGCUCUUGCCCUUAGGCAUUUGAGUUAUGAGUUGGGCGAGGAGCGGGGUAGCUCUUCACCUAUAGGACUUUAGAUAUGAGUCGGGGCAAAGAGCGGGGUAGCUCUUCACCUACUAGAGAUGUGAGUGAAUAUCUAUGGCAUUCGAGAUAUGUGUUGGGUGAGGCAAGAGCGGGGUAGCUCUUCACCUAUGUGAUAAGAGAUCUUAGGCAGGUUAGCCUAGUGGAUUGGGUAAUGACAUGAAUAACAUAGUGGAAUGGCAUUCAUACCAUGAUUGGGACAUAGUAUAUGUUUAGUGGAUUUAAGGCCGAGGAGUAUGUGAGGGUUCCUUCACCUCGAGCCGGAUAGAGUGCGGUACUCCGCAGUUGAUUGACUCGGGGCAGAGUUGGGUGGCUAGCUUGAAUAAGGUAGAUGGAACCUUAAGGCUAGUGAUAGAUGAAAUGGAUCUAGGGUAAUAGAAACCUUAGAGAGUAGUUGGAUGUGAUAGAAAGUAGUAUCGGGUGAUCUACUAGUUUUUGCAUUACUUGCAUGGUUGCAUAGCAUGACAUUAUUGCAUUCGCGAGGCAAAAGCAUGACAUAUGUUAGUCGCAUAUUUUUGAUAUCAUAUCUAUCUGUUUAUUAAUCUAACCUGCAGUUUGCCUCCUUUGAACCUGUUGGUUGAGCUUUUUCCUUGGGUGGCCGUACCCACUGGAAAUCAUGGAGUUGGUUCUCACCCCACGUUGCUUUGGGGUGUUAUAGGUUCGCACGUGAGCGACGCGACGGCGCGAGGAAAGGGCGUAGCUCUGUAGAUAGCGCCCUACCUCAGAGACCAGAGCUAGCAGUACCCCGUCGACAUAGCUUAGGGGUAUAGGAAAUGAAUAGAACACAAUGUAUCAAAAAUGUAUUAAAGAUAUAAAUGAUGUAAUAACAUAGAUUGCAUUUGGAUGGAAAACAAGUUGUAUUUGAGUUGUAAAAAUGUAAGCUGGUGAAUGCAUGUAAUAACUUAGGAUGUGUUUAUGUUGUUUGAUACCUUCCUUUGCAAUCAGUGUAUGAAUACUGUUCCUGUUUGGAACCCCUUAUAUUAUACUGUUUGUUGAGCCUUGAACGUUCAGGGGAGACUCUGUCCGAGGUACAGGGGAAUCCCCGGUUCGUUCGGCGCUGUCUGCGACCCGACCCGGCCAAAUAGGUAGAGGGUCACAGGGCGUGACAUCGCGCCCUUCGAUUGAUCAAGCGAUUCGGCUGAUGAGGGAUCGGAUCAGCCGGAUUCAAAGCCUCUACAGUAAAUUCGGUUUGGCUGGAAGAGCCAAAUGUACGGACCAAGCAAAAACUGAAGUCAGCCGAUGAGCCGAAUAGCUAAAGAACACAGGAAUUGACCGGCUUGAAAAGCCGAAUGCCUUUAUAUUCACUGAUAAGAAGUACAGGGGUCGAGUGUGCCGGAUGGCAUGCAGACUCGGUUGAUCUAUUUAAAACUACUCCUAGGAAGAACAGUAAAUACGGGAAAGAGAAAUUACAAGUAGACUACUCCUAGAAAAUGCAAGAAAUUGCGAGGAAAAUAAGGGCGGUCUUUUGUUCAUAGAAAAAAAGACCCAUUUUUAGGGCGUUAUUGACCUAUUUAUAGAUCGCCCCUUGUGAUCAGUUAUUAUCUGUGCAUGAUCAGCCACUACUCCUGAUUCUCCGGACCAUUUUCAGCCCACUUUCAGCCGAUCAGAACCGUUUGCAACUGCUUACGGUUACUGUAACCUCCCUUAAUUAGCGCAACAGUUUCUCUUCCGGUGCUCCUGGUGUACGGCAAGAUUGAUGCUUUUGAAAGGAAUACCGGCGUACCAUCUGUCCGCGCCUAAUUUCCUCAACAAUUGCCCCCUCGGCAACUUUCGAAGUAACGCUUCGGUAGCUGGCGUAAUCUGAGGCGCGAUUACUUUUCAAACUCUUGGUACGGUUUCGUCUCAACCGUCCACUUUUUUCUACUGCCGAAAUCCUGCCAUCGCUUCAAUAACAAGCGCGAUCCGAGGCGUGGUUCUCGGUCCAAUCAAAUUCAAAUUCUCUGUACGAGUAGCUGACGUAAUCCGAGGCGUGAUCCUCCGUACGGUUCAAUCUUGGCUGUCCAUUUUCUUUUUUACGGCUCUGAUCUCGCCCUCUAUUUUUGUCUUAUAUGUGGCAUUAAUUAGGUCAUCUUAAUUACCGCCAUCUAUUCAUCAUUAUAGCCAUCUUCGGAACUCGCUUUGAUGCGACGAUUCGAUGCGACGACAACCUUUUCUUCUUAGCCAAGCUUCUCAUUCCUUUUUGUACUCAAACCUCAUCUUCGUCGCUUCUUUUACUUCUCUUCGUCUUCUUUGCUAUGUCUAUACUCCAGCUUGGCCCAUUAUUUUCUUCCUGAUACUUUAGAUUUUCCUUCAAUCUUUCGGCAAUGGCGCCGCUUCCGCCUCUGCCUUCCUUUCCAACACUGGAUUAUACCAUACUUAAACCAUAUCUCUCUUUAGACCCCACUAGAUUAAUCUUGGGUCCCUCCUUUACUGAAGACCCAGCUCCUGAUGAUUUCCCUUACUCCAGUGAUGGUCUUCCAUUAAUGGCUAAAUCCAUUCAUCUCCACUCCUGGUAUUCCUCGGCUUCGACAGGAAAAAGUCUUCGAACUUGGCCGAGUGUUUCAGAUGCUUACUUGGCUUGGUUGGAUCGAGUGGAGGCUGUUUAUGGUGAUUCUUGGAAGGAGAUCGGGAUUUAUGAAGCUAUUAGGCUACCUAGGAAGCCUCCUGUAGCCGACAACCUUCUGUUAGCUUCUGCUCUCUAUUUUUGGUCCCCUGUUUUCAACGUUUUUCUUUUCAGAGGAGGACCUCUUACUCUAACUCUUUUUGACAUAGCCGCUAUCGUUGGACUGUGUCCUCAUGGAGUUACCAUCUCUAUAGCUUAUAAUCCUGAUGGCGUGUCUGACUUUGAGGCUCAUCUCGACCUCAAUGACUUGGCCUAUUCUAAGUUCCUCUGUAAGUUUGCAGGCGAAUCCCCUGCUCCUGUCACUAGGAAAGAACAUACAGCGUUCCUCCUACAUUGGUAUGCCACAAUCUCUUCUGCACUCGUUUGCAGAAAAUCAAUCGGGACUUUGUCCCAAUUGCCGUUGGUUUAUCUAACGGCGAUAGAUUAGCUCUAUAGCCUUAUUUUCUUACCUUCGUCUAUAGGAAAAUCUUUGAUUCCAUUAAACCACUACCCUCUGGAGAUGGUGUAACAAUCAGCUCGGGUUGUGGUGUUUUUUCGUUUUUGCAAAUAUUUCUGCAAAUUUAUUUUCAUAAAUUGUGCCGAGAACCUCUAGAUCUAAACUCGGCUGCUCAUUUUGACUCUUAUGGGCUUGCUCUCGGCUGUCCUCAGCCGUUAACAUCAGGCCAUCCUCUUGAUUUUAUCACCUAUUUUAAAAUUUUUUAUGAAUCGGGUCCUCAUUUCCUCAUUUCUUGGUCUCCUUUUGCUGAUUACGUCACCGGCCCACCUUGGUUUUUAGCUAGGUACGAGGCCAUUCAAGGUGAACUUGCUUCUUCUCGUGCCGACGAAUAUUCAGAUGUCUAGUACUCUUUUUUGGCUACAAGGGAUUUACACAUUGGUUUGAAAUCGCGCUCAAAAUUACUGCCCAGUACUGAGGUUUACUCCCCCCAGUUCGCAGUGCGUCAAUUUGGAUUUACGCAAGCAAUCCCUGCUCCAGCCAAGUUCUUCAUGGCCAAUACUGCCGUUCAUCGUCCUCCUACCAAAAGUAUAGCCGAUGCUAAUCGAAUUUUGGCCAUGGGGAAUCGUCUUCGGCGAUUUUUCAAAUUAUUAAGCUUUAGGCCAAAUUAUACAGGAGUAGUAGGUUUCCGCUAUACCGUUACUUGGGAUAGUUUUGUCAAUAGCACCUUCAAUUUUCCUACCUCGCAGGCACACCGCAAAACUAUUCACCCAAUCAGUAAAUCUCUUACUUAUGGCUGAUUUUCUAUUCCACAUAAUUUCUGCUUAUCUAUUUUCCAUUUACAGUGUCCUAUCCAAGCAAAAGUCUUUCGGACGACACCGCUGCCCUAUCUGUAUCAAAAAAAGUCGGUUUGACGAUUCGUUGAGUUUGUGUGGAGUUCUUGGCAAAAGGGGCGGUCGUAGCCUUCGUUCCUACUCGGAGAGCCGAAGCGACGUUCUAAGAGAUUGCCGAGUUCCGUUCCUCGAGUUGUAGCAUCGCCAAAAGGUGGGUGGUGCCAUCUCGAAGCAGUUGAACUGCUCCCUAUGUCUAAGUCUCAUUGUUGAUCUCAUGAGCAUCUUGCCAUAUUGCAUUAUAGGGUAUAUAAUAUGUUGUUGUGUAUUCUUGCAUGCUAGUGGUAGUGUAGAGUCGCUUACUUGACACUUGGACCUAGUAUGUGUGACAUGAUGACUUGGAACCCUAUAAUGAGAAGAUAAAUGAUGAAUGUGCCUUAUGUGGAUGAAAACCUAGUAAAGUGUAAACUAGUGUAUUGGAAACAUGUAAUGAGAACGAGUGGCAUCUAGUUAAUGUUGAACACAAGAAUGAGUGGCAUGAAAACCUUAGUGUAGCUAAAACACUAUGAGAUUGAGUACAGGAACACAUUGAUUCCAUGAUCACGAUAACCCUAGUUGGCAGGGUAUCCUCAGUUGACGAGGAUUGGAUCGACUCACAUAGCCUGUCUGCGCUUAUAGUGGUCGCUCCACACAAGCUAUGCACUCCGGAGUUUUGGUCACUAGAGGGGCAGUCGUGAGCUGCCUGGACAGUAGCCAGCUGUCCGCAGGCGGUCUCGGGGGUAGUCGAGUGAUCAAAAUCUCCUCCCCUAUGAAACUUCAAGACGUGAGAUGGUGGCGAACCUUCGGGUUAGUCGAUUGAUUGGGUAAUCUAAUGAAUUACAUCAUUAUUGAGCAUGAUAGCUUGGUAGUAGCCUUUACUUAUGUUGCAUGCAUGAUUAUAGAUUGAGGCAUGGUAGAUUACUUUCAUAUCUCCUUAUUGUUAUCGCUUUUAAGUUUAUCUAUCUAUCUGUUUAUCUAUCUAUGCCUGCUUAGACCUAGUGGGGAGAUCGGCGGAGUGGGCGGCCGAACCCACUGGGAACUAUGGACAAUAGUUCUCACCCUACUUUGUUGCAGGGCCGAGCUCGAGUACACCCGGCGAGGAUCACGGUAAGGGCUUAGCGCCCUAGAGGUUGUAGAUGCUUCCUAUUGCAUUAGUAGUCACCCUUUGUACUUGAGAGUAGAUGAUGUAUAGGGUGAGAUGAUGUGAAGAAUUGUAAACCUUAUGUUUAUGUUUUGGAAGUUUAAAUGUAAUCAAAUGUAUUAAAGUUGCAUGAAUGUAAUAGUUAAGUAUCUCUCUUUUAUUCACUUGUUUAUUACUCGUGACGCUUGCUCUUGAUUGUUGUGCUCCCGCUGUUGUUGUAUGAUCGUGUAUGUAUUCAAGUGAUUUCCUGAGAACUUGUUGUACAUGAUCUCGUUGUCUAGUCUUGGGCGGACAGGGGAGGUCCUGUCCAUUCGGCGUCUGUUCGACGCGUCGGAACCGGACCAAAUUGGUAGCGGGUCUCGGGGCGUGACAGAGAGAGCUAGGGUUGAGGGAAAGUGAGAAAGAAAGAGAGCCAUCCCCUUUCUUUACCUCCCACUCAUGUAACAAGUGCAAAUAAUCCCCUCAACUUUUAGCUUCACCAACAGCCCAAAAUAGGCAUUUUCGGCUACGGGGACCGGUCCUUGGAGUCAGGGACCGGACCCCCAUGGUCCAGAAUUUUCAGUUUUCGUUGAUUUUGCUCCGUUUUGCUCCGUUUUCGCCCGUUAGGCCUCCGAUUCAUUUCAAAUCGAACCGACUCCAAACACGUUUUCGAGCGUAUUUAAAUCAUCUUUUUACCCAUGCUAAUGCCGGAUUUAGUUCACAGCCCAACAUAGCCUUUCGGGUCCCAUUUUCGUGCCUACGCGCACCGAAACGUCCAAAUGCUUCCGGACUUCACCGGAACUUUACCGGAACAAUUCAAAUGGCUUUCCAAACCAAUACACACCAUAACUUCAUAAUUUUAGAAGUCCGGUACCUUACAUCCUCCCCUCCUAAAAAAAAGUUCGUCCUCGAAACUAACUCACAUCAACCCUAAUUUACAGCUCAACUCAACUUAUCGAGCAACAUAGGGUUCCAAUGCACUUUUAUACUCCGGAGUGGCCUUUCACUCAUUGGAAUCAUUCAAAGGUCCACUACGGAGGAUGUGAGACCAAGUUCACUCACAUUGGCUAAACGCAACUCCAAAAGUGCAUUGCAAUCUCCGCAAGUCUCGGUGGUAGCGUAAGUCGACACUUGAUGACUCUUCACGCUCCAACACCGCUCGCUAACCAGCGCACCAAGGUCAUACCAUUUCCUUCGAGACCAGGACUACCCGUCGUCCUCGUGGCGUGGAUCUAACAAAAUGCACCGACUAGUCGUAUCUUCCACCACCACGACACAACACACCCGAGAAGCCCUCUCGAAUCACUCAAGUGUUCACAAGUUGACACUCCAUCACUCGAUCAUACAAGAGUCUAUACUAUCAGGUACGACUCUUCCUCGCAUCAACUUCUCCCCUUGGGAACGCACCCUGCUUCGAUCACCGACAUUGCCUAAAAGCAAUAUCGUGGUGCAUCGGCUAAUCGCGAAUGUCCCAAUCACAAUCGGAUUUCCGCUCUAUUAUGAGAUGGCACACUCCAGCACAUCUCCAAUUCCUAUCCACAAAAGAGCAUUAUCCUCAAGCUUUAACUCACUCAAGAGCAUCAACUCCAAUCCUCACGUGGCAAUCCAUUAUUCAUGUGUCUCCUAGAGACCACUCUACUUUCUCUUUAUCCGUUGACAUCCUAAGCCACGGCCAUCUCGACUUCGCUCUCACAACGAAUUAACACGAAUACCCGUUCGUGAAUCCCGGCCAAAUUCCUCGACAGAGUUAUCGGCCAAACCGACUACCGCGGGUUCCACAGGUGACCAAUGGUCUCAAAUCCUACGUAACCCUAUAACCUAAACCUAUCUCAACACACGUUUCAUCUUUCGCUCGCAAGCGCAGACCCAAUUAGCAUUAGACGAAAUCCUCAUUGGAGAAUUCGCACACACUCCAACCAGGAGCAACCACGACCCCAAACCACAUCAAGUCCCCGGGUUGGGUCAUAACCACACUCUCUGUAUCCUCGAUCACAUGAUCUAACAUGUGGCAUUCCACGUUCCCGGGUCUAAGCUCGGACUACCGCCCCGACAAAAACUCUGCCCUACCUCAGGCCGCUGUCACCCACAGCUGAUUGCACCUGUCCAUAAGGACCUAGGCUCCACAGUCCACGAGUGGUCCAGGCACGGAUCGUCCCCAAGCAAUACCCGCAAUCGUCGUCUCACACGACACGCUCACCCGAGCAACACACGCCACUACCGGCUCCUAUGCACCCAGUGUGAGCCAUCAGCCCUACGAGUGAUCCAUGGCCCGCUUCACACUUAGCAGUGCUACAGUGCUACUGCCAUCUCACUCUCCCGGCUGAGUCAUUACCACACACCACGAGUACCUAUACUCGAGCGCUCUAUACACCGUAUACUAAGUCCAACAUUAGGCAACCCUGCCUAUGCACACCAGCCAUAAGCACGACUCACCCACCUCACUUCAAGGUACUACCAGGCCCACGUGCCCGUACCCAGCAACUAAUCGGCUACUCUCUCAACAGUAACUCUACUUUCACUGUUCGAUCUACCGGAACAAUGUUCACACACUCGGACUACUCGGGUAUCCACGAGUAUCAUAGCUCAACUCUCGCAAUCUAUUAACCACAUUGCCUUGAGAGUUGCUUCACCAUUUCCUUUCCACUACGAGUCUCACUUCCCGUCUAGAACUCACUGCUAGCAAUUCGCUAGUACCGUCUAGCUCUCUACCUGCUCCAGCAGGCGCUAUACUUUCACGCGCAAGCAUGCCUUACACCUACUCGAUCACUGGUCCAUACUAUACUAACGUGUAAAUAGCAGCAAAAGACCACAAGGUAAUUGCAUGCAAUUGCUCAAACCUAUAUCAUGCUGAAGCGUAUGAUUGCUUUAAUUAAAUCAUACCUACGGUGACAUUACGAGCAGCAGCAGGUUCCUCAACCUGGGUCACGUAUCCAUGGCCGCUUGGCGCUCUCCGCGAACCCUCCAGCUGCCCAAUCAUCACCUCUCGCUCUCCAGACCGUGCCAAAGGCUGCACAUCCACCAUCUAUCCAGAAGAUGAGAAUGCCGUCGCCAUCGGCAGGGGUUGUCUAUCACCCAAGGGGCAAUCAUAUCUCACGUGGCCAGAUUGCUCGCAAGAAAUACACCUUUCCUUUCGCAGCGCACACCGCUGCGUCCUGUGGGAUCCACCACAAAUCACACAUCCCGCAGAUAUGGCAGCAGCAGACGGAACUCCACCAUACUGCCACGGAAUCACUAGGGCGGAUGCAAUAGACGGUGCAGGCGACACUCCUUCUGGGCACUGACGGACCAUAUGCCCCGCCUGACCACACCUAAAGCAUCGUCCUGCCCUAUGCUCACAAUUCCUUACGCGAUGCUCUCCACCACAAAAUACACAUUGCUUAGGUCUCUGGCUAACGGACCUCCUUUUCCGGUACUUCGGGGGCUUCUGGGAACUAAAUUGUCCCCCCGAACUACCGCCAGGCCGUUUCUUUCCUCUGCCUCUCUUGAACGCCUAACGCUCAACGUCAGCGACAUAUCGCGACACCCCGCACGCCCAUGCUCCACACAUCCGUGCUUCGCAUGUGACCCGUACGGCACACGUGUCCUCAACGCUCCUGGCAAGGAAGCCAACAAGCCCCACACCGUGCUUCUCGACCGUCCCCACGACAUCACAUUGCCAUGGCGCACCGCGCCCUCAAUUCCCAUAGGUUCGCCACAUAAGGCCCCAUACAAACGAGCCGGCCUCACUCCGCGUUGCUACCCAUCUGACCCCUCCAUGGCUCGACCACACCUGGCCAUACACACUAAUGGUCUGGUCUCUCAAGGUUCACCAUACGGAUACUGAUACCGCUUGCCUCACUGGGUUUCGCCCCUCUCGAGUCUCCAAGACCUACGCGUCCGACGCUCCCAUUUCACCUCCCCAGCCGCCGCAUUGAGUACCAUAGAACCCGAAGCCGCCAGAGGAACACUAGCCGGCAGGGGAUGCGCCGCCGCCGGAGCUACCAAAAUGCUCACACCGUCAGGCGCAUUAGGCGUGAGAGCCGAGGGCGCGGGCGGACCAUGGCCUUCAAUUGCCGUCGCGGCCGCCGCCGCCACUUGCUGCCCCAAAAGCUCCUGGAGCCGCUCGAUCUGACUCCCCUAGCGUUGAAUCACGCCAACCAGCACAGUCAUAUGCGCCCGCAGUCCUUGCACUUCGCUUGACCCAGCUCGCUCAGGCACCUCGGGAGGUGGUGCCGGAACGGAUCUACGCGUGUAGUGUCUCUUUGGUGCCAUUAGCUCCUGAAACACAACAACUCGGUUAAUUACCUUAACUCGUUAAUCUCGUCGCAAUUAUUAGACAACGCGACUCAAAUCAGGCGAAAGUCAUACAAGGGUGCCUAUUCUCAUCACUAGGUUUCAUGUUGUAUGCAUCCAACAUGAACACCCUCGGGUGAGAAUAAACAGAACCUUGAAUCCACCUCUAACAUCCGUCUUAAAGGUUUACUAACUUGACCCAAUCGAUUCAACUUCCACCACCGUAUAGGUCCACACUCCACUCACGCACCUAUAAGCUUAGGGUUUACCGUCCUAGGGUCUUCUAGGUCCAUCCUAGACUUCUCUCUUUACUUGCUCUUAACCGCUCUGAUACCAUUUCUCUAUCACGCCUCGAGCCCGUUACCUAUUUGGUCCGGUUCGGGCGCGUCGAACAGACGCCGGACGGACAGAACCACCCAUGUUCGCCCAAGGCUCAAGCGACGAGAUCCUAUACAUCAAGUCCCCAGGAAAACAACUUGAAACAUGUACAAGAUUAAACAACCAUACGAGGGUACAAUCAGUGCUAAACAACUAAGAGCAAGUAUCACGAGUAAUGUACAAGUGAAUAAAAGAGAGAUACUAAUCUAUUACUUUCAUUCAACCUUUUUAAUACAACUUGAUUACCAUUUAGCUUCCAAAACAUGAACAUAAAGCUUACAUCUUCCAAAAUAGUCUCACAACCUAUACAUCAUCUACUCUCAAAUAUACAUAUGGAAACUCUAAUGCAAAUAGGAAGCAUCUAUCAACUAGCACUAGGGCGCUAAGCCCUUACCACGAUCCUCAGCUGGCGCACUCGUACUCGGCCCUGCAACAAAGUGGGGUGAGAACUAUUGUCCAUAGUUCCCAGUGGGUUCGGCCGCUAACUCCGCCGAUCUCCCCACUAGGUCUAAGCAGCCAUAGGUAGAUAGAUAGAUAAAUAGAUAGAUAACUUGAAAUCAAUGACAAUGAUAAGGAGAAAUGCAAGUACUCUACCAUGCCUUAAUCCAAUAUAAUGAAUGCAUGCAACUCAUAGCAAAGGCUAGCUACCAUACUACUAUGUUCAACAAUAAAGCUAUUCAUUAGAUCACCCAAUCUCUCGGCUAACCCGAAAGCUCGCUCUCAAUCUCACAUUUUUAAGUCUCAUAGGGGAGGAGUCUCACUGAACUACCCCGAGACCGCCUGCGAACAGCUAGCUACUGUCCGGGCAGCUCACGACUGCCCCUCAGGUGACCAAAACUCCGGAGUGCACAGCUUGUGUGGAGCGACCACUACAAGCGUAGACAGGCUAUGUGAGUAGGAUCCAAUCCUUGUGAACCGGAGAUACCCUACCAACUAGGGAUGGCAUCAUCAUGGAAUCAACGUACUACUAUACUCAUUGGUCUAGUGUUUCAACUACGCUAAGGAACUCAUAUGCCACUCGUCAUAGGUUUGCAUUAACUAGAUGCCACUCAUCAUCAAUUAGAUGUUCUCGAUACACUACUUGCACAUACUCACUAGGUUGUCAUUUACCUAGAUUCCAAUCCACUAUGUGCUAUCACAUAUAGGGUUAAGCUAUGUCACAUUAACCUCAUGCAUACUAGGUUCAAGUGCUACAUCCACCAAACUACAUUAACACUAGCAUGCAAGUAUGGAUACAAGUAUCUAAACACCCUAUAUGUAUCAUGUUCAUAUCACUACAUUUUGAUCUCAUGCAUACUAGGUUCAGGUGUCCAAGCCAAUAACACUAUAUUACACUAGCAUGCAAGAAUAUGUAAUAACAACUAAGCACCUUAAUUGUACACAACUACUAGGUUUUCAUUCAACUAGAGUUUAAUCCACAUUAAUCAUGUUAUUAUGGGGUUUCGCAACACUAUGUCCCAAUCUCAUGCAUACUAGGUACAAGUAUUAAGCAAAUAACACUACACUACCACUAGCAUGCUAUAACAUGUAACAAUUACCAUCUAGCACCCUAUAAUGCAAUAUCACAAUAUGCAACUUGAUAAACGAUAACUUAGACAUAGGGAGCAGUCCAACUGCUUCGAGAUGGCACCACCUACCUCUCUGGUGAUGCAACAAAGUAAAGAAUCCAAAUCUUGCGACCACAAGUCGCCGCUACGACUUCUCGGGUCAACUCUGAGCCACGAACACUUGUUUCAGCCGGAACGUCGCACCUGCUCAACGAAUCGACGAACCAUCGCCUCCCACGCGUUCAAACACCUAUCAAUUAGGUUGAUAUAUGAUCAAUUUAGAUCAAAACCCUCUAUUUGUCAAAACCCCAUUUUUGAAGCCUUAGAUGCCAUUAGUGCUAAAUACCCCAAAUCAAUCCAAGAUUUAGGUAAUAGUGAUUUCAUUAGCAUCCUAGGAUUCCAAAAAUACCACUUCUAGAGAUCAAAAUCCAUGAUCUUCCAAAAACCCAUUUUAAACCCUAGGUUUACAACUAGGCAAGAAUCCACCAUUAGAGCUUCGGAUUCAAGCUCUAAUCAUCUAUCUAGCAUAUUAGAGUUCCACUAAAUCCAUUCUUAAGAGUAUAAAACCCAAACUCUAAAGAGAUGCCAUUAAAGCCUCACAAAGCUUACCUCCAAAGCUUACCCUCAUGGUGGAGAAGAUGAUGAUAAAGAUGGUGAAUCCUCUCUUGGCUUGAAUCUGCACCAAUUCCCCUUCCUUCUUCACCUCCUAGAGAGAGAAAGAGAUCUUAGAGAGAGAAAGAGAGAGCUAGGGUUAAGGGAAAGUGAGAAAGAGAGAGAGAGCCAUCCUCUCUCUUUACCUCCCACUCAUGUAACAAGUGCAAAUAACCCCCUCAACUUUUAGCUUCACCAACAGCCCAAAAUGGGCAUUUUCGGUUACGGAGAUCGGUCCUUGGAGUCAGGGACCGGACCCCCAUGGUCCAAAAAAUUGAAAUUUUCAGCUUUCGUUGAUUUUGCUCCGUUUUCGCCCGUUAGGCCUCCGAUUCGUUUCAAAUCGAACCGAGACCUUCCAAACAUGUUUUCGAGCGUAUUUAAAUCAUCUUUUCACCGACGCUAAUGCUGGAUUUAGUUCACGGCCCAAUAUAGCCUUUCGGGUCCCGUUUCUGCGCCUACGCACACCGAAACGCCCGAAUGCUUCCGGACUUCACCGGAGCUUCACCGAAACAAUUCAAAUGGCUUUCCAAACCAAUACACACCGUAACUUCAUAAUUUUAGAAGUCCAGUACCUUACAUCGGCCUUCUUGUUGCACACCACGUUAUCGACCUGCUGGGCCGAAUUUAUCACACAGCCGACCCUGUCGAUCGGCUCCUCUUGCCGAAGCUCCUCUAAAGCUUCGGUUCCUGAUUCUUCAUGCUCCAUUUUAACCAGCUUGGUGGCUCCUCGGCUGCCACCAUAGCUCCUUCAUCUCUAGAGAGAAUCAAUUGCACUCCCUCUUCAGUAACUCUCACGAAAGAGAUUUGAUCUGGGUCAGCGUCGGCCCAAUUGAUGUGGCCGAUCUCUUCUAAAUUAACGUCCACCAUUUGGGGCCGUUCUUCGGCCUGGAUUUCUUCAACUCUGUCACCUAUCCACUGGAAUAAUUUUUCGUGGAGUGUGGAUGGCACGCACUCAUUUUUGUGUAUCCAAUCGCGUCCGAAUAGUAGGUUGUAAUGGCUAUCUCAUCUAUUACAAAGAAUGCAGUUCUUAAGGUUUUAGAACCUACCGUAAUCUCGGCCGUGAGCACCCCUCGAGCUUGUUGACCGCUUUCGGUGAAAUCGGUCAUAAUUGUGUCGGUUGGCUUCAAUUCGUCCUCGCCCUUGCCUAAUUUCUUGAAAAAUGAAGUGGGCAUGACGUUGACCGUUACUCCACCAUCCACCAUAACUCGGCCUACCGGCCGACCUUCGAUCAAGGCCCGAAUGAACAAAGGCCUCACAAACCUAGUCUGAAUGGCCGAAGGUUUUUCGAAAACCACCGCAUCGGCCGGUUUAACAUCUUCUAAUUGCAAUUGGGCCACCGUAAGCCCAACUUCUUCAUCUACCAUCUCCUCAUUGUACUCAACAUACUCUGCCUUAAAAGACUGCGGCAGAGUAUACACCAUGUUGACAUCGGCUGAUCCUUCGUCAGCCGAUUUUCCUUGAAUCCUCUAUUUCUUUUCUUCGGACUCCUUGGCUGUCUCAGCUGAGGAAUCACUCUCCAUCGGUGCCUCCCUCUCUUUUUGAGGCCAUCUCGCUUUUUUGAUGAUUGUCUCGAGGGAGGCUAUUUUUUCUUCUAACUCCUUCCUAGUCAUCUUCUCCUCUGGUUCGACCGUGACCGGCCGUUCUACCUUUGACUUUAGCCAAGGAACGGGUGAUGAACCACCCGCCUCAUGAUUGUUUUUCAUUAGACGAAAAAGGUGUAGUAGCUCGUUAGGUCGUCUCCACACGUUCAGUCUUAUCCCUUUUGCCUCUUCAUAAUGUUGCCUCUCCUCGGCUUGCAUCCUCUACUGCCGACGCUUCUGUGUUUUUGUUAACAUCGGCCCUUACCAUUUGGCCGAUGAUUUGACUUCGACUUCAUGCCACUGAUCUACCGGCACAUUUGUCGAUACCUUCACAGUUCUCAAAUGAUUCUUCAAGAUCUCUCUCCUUUCCCAAGGUCUCGGCCAGGGCUGUAUGCCAAGCUCAUUUACUAAUCUCCGACCGAGGAAUUCUAUAUCUCCUUCGGUCAUUCCUUCGAAUUCUGGUUCUGGUCUCGGCCUGGCUUGAUGCUGCCAGUGCGGCCGAUACCCAGGGAAUCUUUGCUUUGAGCCGAAUGGUUUCUCUGGAUAACUCCAUCGGUUGUUGCAUUUUUCUUUUCUAUUAUAAUAAUCAAGCAGAACUUUCUGCAUUAAUAAAUCCUUCUUGCGUUGAACAGAAUCAACUUCUGGUUCCGUCUCGUUAGAGGCUUCAUCCGAGCCAUCCUCUGAAUUAUCAUCUCCAUCGGGAAUUUCAUCCUAUUCUUCGGGAAAAGCCGCCAACUCUCUCCAUUCGUUGCUUCUUUUCUUGUCGUUGACGAUAACUUCCCAAUCCUUCUUUGUUAUGCAAGAUGCAAAGCCGAAGCGUCUUCUUGACGAAAGCAAUGUUCUCAGCGGUCUUCUUGUCUGCGACCGCCUUUCCUUUGAUAUCCACCAUAUUUACCUGCGAAGGAAAUGUAUUCUUGUCAAUUUCCAUAGCUUUGUUUUCAUGAUCGGCAAAUAUGAGCCGACCUUCCUCUAUUUCUUCUCGGAUCUGUCUUUUUGCAGCCGCUUUUCCUUUUCCUACCAUAUUGACCUGUGAUGGAAAAGGAUUCUUAUCAAUCUCCAUAAUUUUAUUUUUUUGAUCGGCAAAUAUGAGCUGACCUUCAUUUAUUUCUUUUUGGAUUUGCCUCUUAAAGGCAGUACAUUCGUUUGUUUAUGACUCCAGGAAUGGUGCCAUUUACAAUAUCUUCUUUGUUUCAAUUCUUCUACUGGAGGUAUUGUUUGACCUUCCUGUAAUUGAAUCCCUCCGUCUUUUAGAAAUCGAUCAAAAAUUAGAUCGUUCUUUGAGACAUCAAACGAAUAAGUAUAUGCCAACACUCGUGCCUUCGCCUCACUUGAUUUAGCGCGCUUCAACAAAGCACAUUUAUAUGGCUGUCGGUUUUUCACCAUUUCGGCUGUAUAUAUUUCGGCUUCAUCAGCCGAAUUUUCAACCUCUUCAGAUGAAUUUGGCUCCUCAUGAGCCGAAGACUCUUCAAGGAAAGAGAUAUUUUUCUCCUUCCCUUUGUUCCAAUCUUUAUUUCGGCUCCAUCUAGGCUGAUCUUCAUUAUUUCCUUUUCGGAAUUGCUCGUAUUGAGCAACCCGAAUUCCCAAAUCGAAAAUAUUUGGAAAAUAUUUAUCUUCAAAAUGAUCUUUGAUUUUGAAGUGCAAACCAUUAAAUGCCAUUUUGGCAAAUUCCGACUCUGGCAUUCUCACAAAACAACGGCUUCUAGCCGUCUUAAACCUAUUCAAAUACUUCUCAACCGAUUCGCCUGUUCUCUGUUUGAACUGGGCUAAAUCAGCAACCGAUAAUUCCGGUUCCGUUCAAUAAAAUUGUUCAUGAAAUUUACCUUCUAAUUCGCCCCAAUGUCGGACAAAAUUAGCCGGCAAACUUGUAUAUCAAGUGAAAGCCGUUUUGGUCAACGAGGUAUUGAAUAAUCUUAAUUUUAAAUUGGAUCUGCCGCGGCUUCAUGGCACUGAGCUGUAAACCGUGCGACAUGUUCGACCGUAUUUUCGGUCUCAUCGCCGAAAAACUUAUCAAACUUCGGCAUUUUCCAAUUUGCCGAGUAUGGAUGCUCUGCGUCUAUUUUUGCAGGGUAUGGUGAUCGAAAUACGGGCCGCAUUGCCGGCCUUGCGCCUACUCUAAAAGUGUUUCGGAUAGCUUCCUCUGUAACAUACCGAAACCUCGGUAAUUAAAUUUGAACCUUGGUCAAAUUGACCAAAGUGCGAGGUUGGUACACUUCGGAGAGGCCGAAGGCGUCAAAUAAUGCAAAAAUGCAUUACUGGUGUAAGGUACCGGACUUCUAAAACUAUGAAGUUACGGUGUACAUUUAAAUGAUUCCGGUGAGGUUGCGGUGGAAUGUAACAUGCCGGAUUUUAAGUAUAAAGGUGAAAAUAAAUAAAAAUAGUAUGAGAUACUAUUUUAUUGGGUUUGGAGAAGUGAAAUAUAGAUUGGAAAUGACCUGUGCUGAAAUCGAAGCGAAAAUAGAAGAUUUAGAAUUUUCUGUCAGAAACGGGGCAGAUAAAUUAGCAGAAAAUGUACAGUGUCAGAAAAUUAUGAAAACUGGAGGAUAUGUCAGAAUAAUUUUUAUGAGGCUAGGUUUAAAGUUUCAUAACAUU
rnacentral:lncRNA from 1 species